rnacentral:rRNA from 1 species
AUUGAACGCUGGCGGCAGGCUUAACACAUGCAAGUCGAGCGGAGAUGAGGUGCUUGCACCUUAUCUUAGCGGCGGACGGGUGAGUAAUGCUUAGGAAUCUGCCUAUUAGUGGGGGACAACAUUCCGAAAGGAAUGCUAAUACCGCAUACGUCCUACGAGAGAAAGCAGGGGAUCUUCGGACCUUGCUCUAAUAGAUGAGCCUAAGUCGGAUUAGCUAGUUGGGGGGGUAAAGGCCUACCAAGGCGACGAUCUGUAGCGGGUCUGAGAGGAUGAUCCGCCACACUGGGACUGAGACACGGCCCAGACUCCUACGGGAGGCAGCAGUGGGGAAUAUUGGACAAUGGGGGGAACCCUGAUCCAGCCAUGCCGCGUGUGUGGAGAAGGCCUUACGGUUGUAAAGCACUUUAAGCGAGGAGGAGGCUACUGAGACUAAUACUCUUGGAUAGUGGACGUUACUCGCAGAAUAAGCACCGGCUAACUCUGUGCCAGCCGCCGCAGUAAGAC